rnacentral:rRNA from 1 species
UACGUAGGGGGCGAGCGUUGUCCGGAUUUAUUGGGCGUAAAACGCUUGUAGGCGGCCACAUCGCGUCGGACGUGAAAUCUCCCGGCUCAACUGGGAGGGGUCGUGCGAUACGGAUGGGCUCGAGGCCGGUAGGGGGACGCGGAAUUCCCGGUGUAGUGGUGGAAUGCGUAGAUAUCGGGAGGAACACCAGUGGCGAAGGCGGCGACCUGGGCCGAUACUGACGCUGAGGAGCGAAAGCGAGGGGAGCGACGAGGA